rnacentral:lncRNA from 1 species
CUGUUGGAUGCAGCUUCCAGUGGCAGAUUUCUUCUUCCUGUGCUAGUACCAAGCUCACAGGGCCCAGCAGGAGGGACUCUGUGAGAAGUGGGAUUUGCCCUCUUUAACAGCAGUAAUGUCCCAGGACAGUCCUGGCACUGCAAACAUGUUUUCCCUCUGCAGUUUGCAGUAACACUCAGGAAUAUCCGAACUCUUGCAAAGCAAAGCUUGAUUAAAGGAUGGGUUUAGUCUCGGUGAGAUUCCAAGGACUCCUCCUUUGAAGCAGCGUGUGCAGAAGGAUCUGAAGUGUUCCUAUACCCUCCAAGUUUCAGACGGAUUUUGGAAAACAUGUAACCUUCCCCUAACCGUCCCCAAGAGCAGACAAGGGGAGUGUGAUUGACAUUUGCUCCAAGCAGCAGCCUGAUUGCUGAGAUCUUGCAGACAGCUGGUUCCUUGGAAAUAAGAAGUAGACCUCACAGCCCUGGACUUUACUGAAGGCAUGAGUAUUCUGGUCAAGUACAAGCAAGAAAGCACAGCAGACCCUAAAAUUCAGGUACCUGCUGCCAUUCUCCAGCUGUAUGGAAGCUGCCUGCACUGUGAGACAACCACAUGAACACCUUGGUGGGGGUACCCAGCUGACAGACACUGCGAGUGAGAAGGCAGACUGGUGAGUGUCAUCUUACCAAAAACCUGCAGGAGCAAGCCAAAACAUGCAAUUUGCUAAGUA